UCUAGUAUAAGCAAUCUAUACGGUGAAACUGCGAAUGGCUCAUUAAAUCAGUUAUCGUUUAUUUGAUAGUACCUUACUACUUGGAUAACCGUGGUAAUUCUAGAGCUAAUACAUGCUAAAAACCCCGACUUCGGAAGGGGUGUAUUUAUUAGAUAAAAAACCAAUGCCCUUCGGGGCUCCUUGGUGAUUCAUAAUAACUUAACGAAUCGCAUGGCCUUGUGCCGGCGAUGGUUCAUUCAAAUUUCUGCCCUAUCAACUUUCGAUGGUAGGAUAGUGGCCUACCAUGGUUUCAACGGGUAACGGGGAAUUAGGGUUCUAUUCCGGAGAGGGAGCCUGAGAAACGGCUACCACAUCCAAGGAAGGCAGCAGGCGCGCAAAUUACCCAAUCCCGACACGGGGAGGUAGUGACAAUAAAUACUGAUACAGGGCUCUUUUGGGUCUUGUAAUUGGAAUGAGUACAAUUUAAAUCCCUUAACGAGGAACAAUUGGAGGGCAAGUCUGGUGCCAGCAGCCGCGGUAAUUCCAGCUCCAAUAGCGUAUAUUAAAGUUGUUGCAGUUAAAAAGCUCGUAGUUGAACCUUGGGCCUGGCUGGCCGGUCCGCCUCACCGCGUGCACUGGUCCGGCCGGGUCUUUCCUUCUGGGGAGCCGCAUGCCCUUCACUGGGUGUGUCGGGGAACCAGGACUUUUACUUUGAAAAAAUUAGAGUGUUCAAAGCAGGCCUAUGCUCGAAUACAUUAGCAUGGAAUAAUAGAAUAGGACGUGUGGUUCUAUUUUGUUGGUUUCUAGGACCGCCGUAAUGAUUAAUAGGGAUAGUCGGGGGCAUCAGUAUUCAAUUGUCAGAGGUGAAAUUCUUGGAUUUAUUGAAGACUAACUACUGCGAAAGCAUUUGCCAAGGAUGUUUUCAUUAAUCAGUGAACGAAAGUUAGGGGAUCGAAGACGAUCAGAUACCGUCGUAGUCUUAACCAUAAACUAUGCCGACUAGGGA
rnacentral:rRNA from 1 species